rnacentral:rRNA from 1 species
UAGUCCACGCCGUAAACGAUGUCUACUAGCCGUUGGGGAUCUUGUAUCUUUAGUGGCGCAGCUAACGCACUAAGUAGACCGCCUGGGGAGUACGGCCGCAAGGUUAAAACUCAGAUGAAUUGACGGGGGCCCGCACAAGCGGUGGAGCAUGUGGUUUAAUUCGAUGCAACGCGAAGAACCUUACCUGGUCUUGACAUCCACAGAACUUUCUAGAGAUAGAUUGGUGCCUUCGGGAACUGUGAGACAGGUGCUGCAUGGCUGUCGUCAGCUCGUGUUGUGAAAUGUUGGGUUAAGUCCCGUAACGAGCGCAACCCUUGUCCUUAUUUGCCAGCACGUAAUGGUGGGAACUUUAAGGAGACUGCCGGUGACAAACCGGAGGAAGGUGGGGACGACGUCAAGUCAUCAUGGCCCUUACGACCAGGGCUACACACGUGCUACAAUGGUAAGUACAAAGGGCUGCUAAGCAGCGAUGUGGAGCUAACCCCAGAAAACUUAUCGUAGUCCGGA